GAACGAGAAAGCGGGGGCAACUCCGUGAGUAAAGUGGCGUACGGGUGAGUAACACGUAGCUAACCUACCCUCGAGUGAGGAAUAACCUGGGGAAACUCGGGCUAAUACCCCAUAACAUCCCGAGCAAUCGGGAGCAAAGGUCCGCAAGGGCCGCUUGAGGAGGGGGCUGCGGCCGAUUAGCUAGUUGGUGAGGUAACGGCCCACCAAGGCGAUGAUCGGUAGCCGGCCUGAGAGGGCGCACGGCCACACUGGCACUGAAACACGGGCCAGACUCCUACGGGAGGCAGCAGUGGGGAAUUUUGCACAAUGCCCGAAAGGGUGAUGCAGCAACGCCGCGUGAGGGAUGAAGGUCUUCGGAUCGUAAACCUCUUUCGACCGGGAAAAAUGGGCGGGUGUAGAGCCCGUUCUGAUGGUACCGGUGGAAGAAGCCCCGGCUAACUACGUG
rnacentral:rRNA from 1 species